AACGCUGGCGGCGUGCCUAAUACAUGCAAGUCGAGCGAAUUGAUGGGAGCUUGCUCCCUGAGAUUAGCGGCGGACGGGUGAGUAACACGUGGGCAACCUGCCUAUAAGACUGGGAUAACUUCGGGAAACCGGAGCUAAUACCGGAUACGUUCUUUUCUCGCAUGAGAGAAGAUGGAAAGACGGUUUCGGCUGUCACUUAUAGAUGGGCCCGCGGCGCAUUAGCUAGUUGGUGAGGUAAUGGCUCACCAAGGCGACGAUGCGUAGCCGACCUGAGAGGGUGAUCGGCCACACUGGGACUGAGACACGGCCCAGACUCCUACGGGAGGCAGCAGUAGGGAAUCUUCCGCAAUGGACGAAAGUCUGACGGAGCAACGCCGCGUGAACGAAGAAGGCCUUCGGGUCGUAAAGUUCUGUUGUUAGGGAAGAACAAGUACCAGAGUAACUGCUGGUACCUUGACGGUACCUAACCAGAAAGCCACGGUUAACUACGUGCCAGCAGCCGCGGUAAUACGUAGGUGGCAAGCGUUGUCCGGAAUUAUUGGCCGUAAAKCGCGCGCAGGUGGUCCCUUAAGUCUGAUGUGAAAGCCCACG
rnacentral:rRNA from 1 species